CCUACGGGAGGCAGCAGUAGGGAAUCUUCCGCAAUGGACGAAAGUCUGACGGAGCAACGCCGCGUGAGCGAUGAAGGCCUUCGGGUCGUAAAGCUCUGUUGUCAGGGAAGAACAAGUAUCGGAGUAACUGCCGGUACCUUGACGGUACCUGACCAGAAAGCCACGGCUAACUACGUGCCAGCAGCCGCGGUAAUACGUAGGUGGCAAGCGUUGUCCGGAAUUAUUGGGCGUAAAGCGCGCGCAGGCGGUUCCUUAAGUCUGAUGUGAAAGCCCCCGGCUCAGCCGGGGAGGGUCAUUGGAAACUGGGGAACUUGAGUGCAGAAGAGGAGAGCGGAAUUCCACGUGUAGCGGUGAAAUGCGUAGAGAUGUGGAGGAACACCAGUGGCGAAGGCGGCUCUCUGGUCUGUAACUGACGCUGAGGCGCGAAAGCGUGGGGAGCGAACAGGAUUAGAUACCCUGGUAGUCCACGCCGUAAACGAUGAGUGCUAAGUGUUAGAGGGUUUCCGCCCUUUAGUGCUGCAGCAAACGCAUUAAGCACUCCGCCUGGGGAGUACGGCCGCAAGGCUGAAACUCAAAGGAAUUGACGG
rnacentral:rRNA from 1 species